GACGAACGCUGGCGGCGUGCCUAAUACAUGCAAGUAGAACGCAGUUGCGAACGGGUGAGUAACGCGUAGGUAACUGCCUCAUAGCGGGGGAUAACUAUUGGAAACGAUAGCUAAUACCGCAUACUGUGAGAUGGAGCUGCGUUGUAUUAGCGAGUUGGUGAGGUAAAGGCUCACCAAGGCGACCAUACAUAGCCGAUCUGGGAGGGUGAUAGGCCACAUGGGGAAUUAGACGCGGCCCAGACUCCUACGGGAAGCAGUAGUAGGGAAACUUCGGAAAUGGACGGAAGUCUGAACGCACAACGCCGCGUGAGUGAAGAAGGUUUUCUGAGUGUAAAGCUAUUUUGUUAGAGAAGCGGUAUCUAACCAAAAAGGAACGGCUAACUACGUGCCAGCAGCCGCGUUAAUUC
rnacentral:rRNA from 1 species